GGCGAUGCGGCCCCUCCCACCUGAGGCUGUGGAAGCGACGUGUCUGGGGUGCAGACAGGACUAAAAUCUUUUAGGACAAAAAGAAACCGAUUGUGGUAAAUCCUCUGGACAACGCCGGGUCCUCGGAAGCGGUGCGACUCACUGGGCAGGUGCCAGGAUUGUUGUUCUGGAAACAGUAGGACCAAAAAGCUAUGCUAGAUAUGACUGGACAUCCCAGCAGCACAGCCACACUGGCAAACACAGCAACACAGAAGCAAAGCAUGAGUGGGAAGGUCUGAAGAAGAGUCUCCAGAGCAAGAGGAGACAAAGCAAGAUGUCAUAAACUAUAAGAUGUUUGUGGCUGGGCUGGAGAGAUGGCUCAGCGGUUAAGAGCACUGACUGACUACUCUUCCAGAGGUCCUGAGUUCAAUUCCCAGCAACCACAUGGUGGCUCACAACCAUCUGUAAUGAGAUCUGAUGCCCUCUUCUGGUGUGUCUGAAGACAGUUAUAGUGUACUUAUAUAUAAUAAAUAAAUCUUAAAAAAAGAAACAUAUUAAGAUGCAUAUGGCUAGUGAGACUGGCCAUGUUGGUGAGUUCCAGGUUUGAUUUAGAGACCCUGUCUCAGUGAGCAGGUGGAAGUGAUGAUUCCCUGCACCGACUUGAGCUGCACACAUGUGUUCCGUACACAUGUACAUGGCAAACUACUUCAGUGAACCCCAUACCGAAAUGUGCAAAUUAAA